rnacentral:lncRNA from 1 species
UUAUUACCCAUAUGAAGGUUAAAGCCCAAUAGUCCAAUACCCAUUUGAAGCCCAUCUAAUUUACCCAAACAUAAUUACCUAAGACUUUUAGUCUUACUGUUACUAAUACGUUCCCAUUUCUCAAACCUAAAUCAAUAAUUAGAUUUAGGGUUCUCUAUGCAACACUGUGACUGUUGCUUUCUUCCUCAGCUUUGUGCGACUGCUGCCUUCUUCCUCAGCUCGACUGUGACGCCUUCUUCCUCAUAUCAUCGAUCAUCCUUCUUUCUCAAGUUACAGUGACUUCGUAUAAGAUAUGAGUUCCUUUUUUAGUUUUCUUACUCUGUUCCUUAGCUCAAUCGAUUUUGGUGGAAAUUUCUUGUGUUGAUUGUUCCGCUAAGUUAAAGUCAGCAUGUAACUUUCUUCUAUUGUUCCCUUUCUAUGCUAUGCUAUUUUGUUAAAUAGGAACAUGGACUUCACUUUUUGUAAUUUUUUGCUAAGUUAUUUUGACGUUUCAUUAAUCUCUGAGCAGUUUUCUGUUUCUUUUCUACAAUAAUUUCAUUUUGGAAGUUCUCGACAUAUUCAGACCAAUUGGAAGCCUUUUAACUUCCACGACUUCAAUUUCGGUUUAACCCAAUUCAGUGGCUUUUCUGAAUUGGUGAUUAUUAGUCAGAAAUGAAGAGAAGUGUGGUGUUUGUGGCUUUAGAUAUGGCAACGAGCGAAGGAGAAACUUGCAUUGUCGAAAGAGAUACUAGCAUUGUUGAUGCAUAAUUUGAACAAGUGGUAAGUUUAAAGAUUUGAUUGUUUGACGAUAUUCUUUUGUUUAUAAUUAAAAAUAUUUUAUUAGUUUGUGAUAUUUUUUUGUAGGUUCAACUAUGCCUCGUGGUUCUAAACCUAGAUCGCCUAUUUGGGAACAUUUUGAUCUAGUUGAAGUAAAUGAAGAAGCCCUCAAAGCAAAGUGUCAUCAUUGUGGUCGAGUUUAUAAUUAUCAUCCAAAGUAUUAAGGAACUAUUGGCUUAGUGAAUCACGUUAAGUAGUGUCUCAUGCCUCAUCCAGUGAUUCGUUUUAAGACCUUAAGUAUUAUUUUCUAGACUUACUUUGUGGCUUGUGACUAGUUUUCCACUAUUUUGUGUUUGGUGGUGGUAUUUCUAGACUUGUUUUGGACUUUGGAAGCUGAUAAAUUUGCCACUAUAUUAAACUAUUUUGGAUUAGUUCGCCAUUGCUGAACUAUGCAGUAUUUUGCUACUUAGGUAGCUGUUGUGUUCUGUUUGGACGUGAAAUCCUACUAGUGGAUUAAUUAUUAAUUUUGUUAAUUAUCAACUGUUUGGACGAGAAAUCUUGUUGUGUUCUGUUUGGACAUGAAAUCAUGGAUGUGAAAACUAAACUGGUUAUACCAACGAAGGAAUACCUUGC